AGUUCCUUGCUCGUGCUCUAUCUCCUUCUUCAGCUGAAAUCUUAUACUUAUGUAUUUUCAGAUUUGUUGGCUAUAUUUUAAAACCUGGAUAUAUUUGUGCAUUUCCUGUUAUUUCUUUCCACUAGAAAUCAUUUGUCUUCCUUGUCAUAGGUAAUAGAAUGUCGACCCACUGUUCUUUUUCUUGAAUAAUUUGCCUGAGAUCAACAUCCAGUCAAUGCUCGGUGAAGUAACAUCCACCUGAAUCUUUUCCUUUAUAACCACUGGGAAAGUCCUGAGCCUUUUCAGAGUCCUAGGAAUGUUUCAUAUUUCUGAUACUGUGUCUGAUUGCUGCUCGGCGAGGUAGUAGUUCAAGCCAUAAAGCCGCGCUUCUUCUUCCCAUCCUGAGAAGCUCACACUGGAGACCAUUUCUCUUAUCCUAUGGCUUUCUCUUCCCUCGUCUGCAAUGGUCACUGAGCCUUGGGAAGAGGACUGUGUGGUACAGAUGCCCCGUGUUCAGCAUGUUCAGCAAGCUCAGUCACUCAUUCUCUGCACCCUGAUUGGUUGUAGGCUUCUGAAUUAAUUGCUUUUUACUGCAAAGAGAAGCUCCUCUGCCAAGGUCUUGGUAAUGCACUCAUCUGUGGGUUAACAAGAAGUAGUUAGGAGUCAGGUUGAUGACAUGUGCUAUUAUCAGAGCACUAGCUGUGGGUUCUUCCCUGGGGCCUAGGGCCAAUAGCCAAGGUUAUUGAUCCCCAUGUCAGCACAGGAUUCUGUUUCAUUCUGUCUUCCGGGACCUCAAUCCAAUCAGAAAGCAUCUGCUUAUUCCUAUGGCAUCCAUACCAUUGUAGUACAAGUGGGCAUGUCCUGUCAGGCGGGUUGUUUCUGUAGCUUGCAGGACCCAUAGCCACAUAAGACUAAUGAUUACUCUCUGCUCUAACACUAUGGAAACCAUUCAGUAGGGAUGAAACUUCCAGGUCUGUACCAUCUCCAGUUUUCUAGGUUCUAUGAUUCAAGUAUGUGGUGCCUUUAGUUACAGGGUAUUACUCUAGAAUUUGAGAGGGUAACUAAUUCCAUUGGCAAUGGCCUCUCACAUUUGGGGACCUAAGAGACCUCACAGGCCAACAGCUCCAAGAAAGGUAACCUACUGCUGACUUUGGAUUUUUGUUUGCCUACAGUGUCUGGUAGUGGCAUUGCUACCCCGUUACAGUGCAGCUCCAUUUAAGUUCUUCCUCUGCAUGUAUGUAUUUAUAUUUUAAGAAACUUCUUUACUACUGGUUCUUAUAGGACUUAAAGGUCUUUAGUGUUAUUUAUCCCACUCGA